GACGAACGCUGGCGGCGUGCCUAACACAUGCAAGUCGAACGGAACUGUUUUGAAAGAUUUCUUCGGAAUGAAUUUGAUUUAGUUUAGUGGCGGACGGGUGAGUAACGCGUGAGUAACCUGCCUUCAAGAGGGGGAUAACAUUCUGAAAAGAAUGCUAAUACCGCAUGACAUAUCGGAACCACAUGGUUCUGAUAUCAAAGAUUUUAUCGCUUGAAGAUGGACUCGCGUCCGAUUAGUUAGUUGGUGAGGUAACGGCUCACCAAGACCGCGAUCGGUAGCCGGACUGAGAGGUUGAACGGCCACAUUGGGACUGAGACACGGCCCAGACUCCUACGGGAGGCAGCAGUGGGGGAUAUUGCGCAAUGGGGGCAACCCUGACGCAGCAACGCCGCGUGAAGGAUGAAGGUUUUCGGAUUGUAAACUUCUUUUAUUAAGGACGAAA
rnacentral:rRNA from 1 species